AACACGUGGGUAACCUGCCUUAUAGUGGGGGAUAGCCUUUCGAAAGGAAGAUUAAUACCGCAUAAGAUUGUAGUAUCGCAUGAUAUAGCAAUUAAAAGGAGCAAUUCGCUAUAAGAUGGACCCGCGUCGCAUUAGCUAGUUGGUGAGGUAAUGGCUCACCAAGGCGACGAUGCGUAGCCGACCUGAGAGGGUGAUCGGCCACAUUGGGACUGAGACACGGUCCAGACUCCUACGGGAGGCAGCAUG
rnacentral:rRNA from 1 species